rnacentral:misc_RNA from 1 species
GUGAAUCAUCGAAUUUUUGAACGCAAAUUGCACUCUCUGGCAUCCCGGAGAGUAUUCCUGUUUGAGGGUCAGUUUAAUAAAAAUCGUCGUGUCGCUUUCGUGAUGCACCGUAGGUUGGGUCUUCUUAGCUUUAGGUUAAUAGUCUUAAAAUUGAUAUCUUUUUUUCGCGCUUUUAGAUGUACAUAAUUUUUUUUAUUAGUCUAUUCCUGUUCCAAAAUUUACUACUUACGAUUAUCUUUUUCUUAUAAUGUCUCAUCUUUUUACCUCUAAUCA